CAGAGAACAUCGCCCUCACGGGUGACUCUCCAACCCUAUGUUAUUGUACCUUUGUUGCUUUGGCGAGCCGCUUCGGCCACCGGCUUAUGCUGGUGUGUGCUCGCCAGAGGACCCCAAACUCUGAAUUAUAGUGUCGUCUGAGAACUAUAUAAUAGUUA
rnacentral:misc_RNA from 1 species